rnacentral:lncRNA from 1 species
AUGGUGAACGUUCCUAAAACUCACCAGACUUUCUAUAAGAAUUGUAGCAAGCACCAACCCCACAAAGUGACACAAUAUAAGAAGGGCAAGGGUCUUCUGUAUGCCCGGGGAAGGCAGCAUUAUGACAGGAAGCAGUAUGGCUACUAGGCCAACUUUUCAGGGAAAAGACUGAAAUUACAAAGAACAUUGUGCAGAGGCUUGGGUGUUUUGAGCCCAACUGCAGAUCUAAGAGAAUGCUGGCAGGCUAUUAGGAGAUGCAGGCCUUUUCAACUGGGAGGAUGUCAGAAGAGAAAGGGCCAAGUGAUCCAGUUCU